UACGGGGGGAGCAAGCGUUGUUCGGAUUUACUGGGCGUAAAGGGCGCGUAGGCGGCGUGACAAGUCACUUGUGAAAUCUCCGGGCUUAACCCGGAGCGGCCAAGUGAUACUGUCGUGCUAGAGUGCGGAAGGGGCUACUGGAAUUCUCGGUGUAGCGGUGAAAUGCGUAGAUAUCUGGAGGAACACCGGUGGCGAAGGCGGCAUCCUGGACCAACACUGACGCUGAGGCGCGAAAGCGUGGGGAGCAAACAGG
rnacentral:rRNA from 1 species